rnacentral:rRNA from 1 species
AGGGCGCACGGUGGAUGCCUUGGCACUAGAAGCCGAUGAAGGACGUGACUAACGACGAAAUGCUUUGGGGAGCUGUAAGUGAGCAAUGAUCCAGAGAUGUCCGAAUGGGGGAACCCGGCAGGUAAUGCCUGUCACUCAUUACUGUUAAGGUAAUGUAGAGGAAGACGCAGUGAACUGAAACAUCUAAGUAGCUGCAGGAAGAGAAAGCAAAAGCGAUUGCCUUAGUAGCGGCGAGCGAAACGGCAAGAGGGCAAACCGAAGAGUUUACUCUUCGGGGUUGUAGGACUGCAACGUGGACUUAAAGAUUAUAGAAGAACUACCUGGGAAGGUAGGCCAAAGAGAGUAAUAGCCUCGUAUUCGAAAUAGUCUUUAUACCUAGCAGUAUCCUGAGUACGGCGAGACACGAGAAAUCUCGUCGGAAUCUGGGAGGACCAUCUCCCAACCCUAAAUACUCUCUAGUGACCGAUAGUGAACCAGUACCGUGAGGGAAAGGUGAAAAGCACCCCGGGAGGGGAGUGAAAUAGAACCUGAAACCGUGUGCCUACAACAAGUUCGAGCCCGUUAAUGGGUGAGAGCGUGCCUUUUGUAGAAUGAACCGGCGAGUUACGAUAUGAUGCGAGGUUAAGUUGAAGAGACGGAGCCGUAGGGAAACCGAGUCUUAAUAGGGCGUAUUAGUAUCAUGUCGUAGACCCGAAACCAUGUGACCUACCCAUGAGCAGGUUGAAGGUGAGGUAAAACUCACUGGAGGACCGAACCAGGGCACGUUGAAAAGUGCUUGGAUGACUUGUGGGUAGCGGAGAAAUUCCAAACGAACUUGGAGAUAGCUGGUUCUCUCCGAAAUAGCUUUAGGGCUAGCCUUGAAAUAGAUUACCGGAGGUAAAGCACUGAAUUGGCUAGGGGCCGAGAGGUUACUGAACCUUAUCAAACUAAGAAUGCCGGAUAAUCGUUUUUCAGGAGUCAGACAGUGGGAGAUAAGUUUCAUUGUCAAAAGGGAAACAGCCCAGACCCACAGCUAAGGUCCCCAAGUAUAGUUAAGUGGAAAAGGAUGUGGAAUUGCACAGACAACCAGGAUGUUGGCUUAGAAGCAGCCACUCAUUAAAAGAGUGCGUAAUAGCUCACUGGUCGAGUGACCCUGCGCCGAAAAUUCAACGGGGCUAAACAAUGUACCGAAGCUUGGGAUUCUAAAGUAAUUUAGAGUGGUAGGAGAGCGUCGAAUAAGGGGUGAAGUCAGAGCGGAAGCGCUGGUGGACUUUAUUCGAGUGAGAAUGCCGGAAUGAGUAGCGAGAAUUAUGUGGGAAUCAUAAUGGCCGAAAAUCUAAGGUUUCUUGGGGAAGGUUCGUCCGCCCAAGGUAAGCCGGGAGCUAAGGCGAGGCCGAAAGGCGUAGUCGAUGCACAUACGGUUGAAAUUCCGUAGCCACCGAAACUUAAGCUAGAAGGACACUUGGAGCUAUCCAGACCCGGGCGUUGGUUGACCCGGGCGUAAGGGACCGAAAUUAGAGUAGGGAAGCACACUUAGCUGAAGGCGAGAAAAGCUUUGCGUAUAGAAACAGAUGCCCGUACCGCAAACCGACACAGGUGGACAGGAAGAGAAUUCUAAGGCCAGCGGGAGAAGGGUAGUUAAGGAACUCGGCAAAUUGACUCCGUAACUUCGGAAUAAGGAGUGCUCGAAAGAGCCGCAGAGAAUAGGCCCAGGCGACUGUUUAGCAAAAACACAGGUCUCUGCCAAAUCGAAAGAUGAAGUAUAGGGGCUGACACCUGCCCGGUGCCGGAAGGUUAAGAGGAGGAGUGAGAGCUCCGAAUUGAAGCCCCGGUAAACGGCGGCCGUAACUAUAACGGUCCUAAGGUAGCGAAAUUCCUUGUCGGGUAAGUUCCGACCCGCACGAAUGGUGUAACGAUCUGGGCACUGUCUCAACUACCCACCCGGCGAAAUUGUAGUACCGGUGAAGAUGCCGGUUACCUGCGGCAAGACGGAAAGACCCCAUGGAGCUUUACUGUAGCCUGAUAUUGGGUUUCGGAAAUCUAUGUACAGGAUAGGCGGGAGACUAGGAAACAUGAGCGUCAGCUUGUGUGGAGUCGAUGUUGGGAUACCGCCCUUAGGUUUCUGGAAUUCUAACCUGCGGCCGUGAAUCCGGUCGGGGGACAUUGUCAGGUGGGCAGUUUGACUGGGGCGGUCGCCUCCGAAAAGGUAACGGAGGCGCUCAAAGGUUAGCUCAGCACGGACGGAAACCGUGCCUCUGAGUGUAAACGCAAAAGCUAGCCUAACUGCGAGGGUGACGGCCCGAGCAGUAACGAAAGUUGGAGUUAGUGAUCCGGCGGUAUGUGAAUGGAAAUGCCGUCGCUCAACGGAUAAAAGCUACCCUGGGGAUAACAGGCUGAUCUCCCCCAAGAGUCCACAUCGACGGGGA